UGGAUUUUUCCAAAAAAAUUGAACAAAAAAGAUAGAGACAUUCGGGGGCGGAGUGCGGCUCUAGGGUUUCGUAGGUGCAUGCUUAGCAACAAAAAUCAAGGAAAGCAGAUUUCGACAGGCUAAUUGAUGACGAUGAUGAACUGAUGAUGAUGAUCGGGAGAUAAGAGACAUCGGGGAGAGAAACAGAGAGGCUUUUGAUUGUGCUUGAUCCAGCUGCAGUGAGUUCAUUGGGAAAGAACACAUAAGUAUUAAAAAAAAGGGAAUGUAUAACGGAAUAGGACUACAAACCCCUAGAGGUUCUGGGACGAAUGGUUACAUACAGAGCAACAAAUUUUUUGUCAAGCCAAGGACUAAUAAGGUUGCCGAUGCCACUAAUAGUUUUGAACCUGGUCAGGGCACUGCUGGUCUCUCUAAGAAGCCCAACAAGGACAUCCUUGAGCAUGACCGAAAGCGUCAAAUUCAUCUCAAGCUUGUUGUUCUGGAAGACAAGCUCAUUGACCAAGGUUACACUGAUACUGAAAUAGCUGAGAAGCUUGAGGAGGCUAGGAAGACUCUAGAAGCUGCUGCGGUGGUGGAGGAAAAUAAUGGAUCCACUUCCACAUUACUCAACUCUGAAAA